UACGAAGGGGGCUAGCGUUGCUUGGAAUCACUGGGCGUAAAGAGCGUGUAGGCGGUCCGGUAAGUCGGCUGUGAAAGUCCAGGGCUCAACCCUGGGAUGCCGGUCGAUACUGCCGGACUAGAGUUCGGAAGAGGCGAGUGGAACUCCUGGUGUAGCGGUGGAAUGCGCAGAUAUCAGGAAGAACACCGACGGCGAAGGCAGCUCGCUGGGACGGUACUGACGCUGAGGCGCGAAAGCGUGGGGAGCGAACAGG
rnacentral:rRNA from 1 species